GAGUUUGAUCCUGGCUCAGAUUGAACGCUGGCGGCAUGCCUUACACAUGCAAGUCGAACGGCAGCGCGGGGCAACCUGGCGGCGAGUGGCGAACGGGUGAGUAAUAUAUCGGAACGUACCCUGGAGUGGGGGAUAACGUAGCGAAAGUUACGCUAAUACCGCAUACGAUCUAAGGAUGAAAGUGGGGGCUUCGCAAGAACCUCAUGCUCCUGGAGCGGCCGAUAUCUGAUUAGCUAGUUGGUGGGGUAAAGGCCCACCAAGGCUUCGAUCAGUAGCUGGUCUGAGAGGACGACCAGCCACACUGGAACUGAGACACGGUCCAGACUCCUACGGGAGGCAGCAGUGGGGAAUUUUGGACAAUGGGCGCAAGCCUGAUCCAGCAAUGCCGCGUGAGUGAAGAAGGCC
rnacentral:rRNA from 1 species